GACGAACGCUGGCGGCGUGCCUAAUACAUGCAAGUCGAACGAGAGCGACCGGUGCUUGCACUGGUCAAUCUAGUGGCGAACGGGUGAGUAACACGUGGGUAACCUGCUCAUCAGAGGGGGAUAACAUCCGGAAACGGAUGCUAAAACCGCAUAGGUCUUCGAGCCGCAUGGCUUGAAGAGGAAAAGAGGCGCAAGCUUCUGCUGAUGGAUGGACCCGCGGUGCAUUAGCUAGUUGGUGAGGUAACGGCUCACCAAGGCCGUGAUGCAUAGCCGACCUGAGAGGGUGAUCGGCCACAUUGGGACUGAGACGCGGCCCAAGCUCCUACGGGAGGCAGCAGUAGGGAAUCUUCCGCAAUGGACGCAAGUCUGACGGAGCAACGCCGCGUGAGUGAAGAAGGUUUUCGGAUCGUAAAACUCUGUUGUUAGAGAAGAACAAGUGCUAGAGUAACUGUUAGCGCCUUGACGGUAUCUAACCAGAAAGCCACGGCUAACUACGUG
rnacentral:rRNA from 1 species